CCAAAAUAAAACGGAGAAAAAAAGGGGGAAGAAAAAAACGGGGAGAAAAAGGAGAAAAAAAGGAAAAAGAGGGGAAA
rnacentral:ribozyme from 12 species